rnacentral:rRNA from 1 species
AGCGAACGCUGGCGGCAGGCCUAACACAUGCAAGUCGAACGAACCUUUCGGGGUUAGUGGCGGACGGGUGAGUAACACGUGGGAACGUGCCUUUAGGUUCGGAAUAACUCAGGGAAACUUGUGCUAAUACCGAAUGUGCCCUUCGGGGGAAAGAUUAAUCGCCUUUAGAGCGGCCCGCGUCUGAUUAGCUAGUUGGUUGAGGUAAUGGCUCACCAAGGCGACGAUCAGUAGCUGGUCUGAGAGGAUGAUCAGCCACAUUGGGACUGAGACACGGCCCAAACUCCUACGGGAGGCAGCAGUGGGGAAUCUUGCGCAAUGGGCGAAAGCCUGACGCAGCCAUGCCGCGUGAAUGAUGAAGGUCUUAGGAUUGUAAAAUUCUUUCACCGGGGACGAUAAUGACGGUACCCGGAGAUGAAGCCCCGGCUAACUUCGUG